rnacentral:lncRNA from 1 species
GAAGAGACAGAGAGAGCCAGAGGUUUCAUCUUCUAGCAUUCCUUAGCCUUCUAUUUCUUGGAAGAAGAUUGUUGACCAGCUUGUCCUCGAGAAGACUCAGAUGAAGGCUUCUUUUGAGACCGAGAUCUGUCGCAUUCGAAGGAAGUACACGCCUUCAGCCAGAUCUUCUGACAUUAUUGUUAGGGAUCCUUAGGAUGACUAAUCUCCUUUUCUCUUGUAUUUUUUAUUUGGUUUCUG